rnacentral:tRNA from 1 species
UGCGGGGUGGAGCAGUGGCAGCUCGUUGGGCUCAUAACCCAAAGGCCGCAGGUUCGAAUCCUGCCCCCGCUA